CAAACGGUUCUUUUCAGGACCACAGAAAAUUCCUCAAGAGUUGUG
rfam:Aedes albopictus isolate Foshan contig154382, whole genome shotgun sequence.